UCACGUGAUGAGCAUUCAAUUCACAUCGCGACACACCGAUGAUUCAAAUGAGUGAGCUACGAAUGGAAUAAAUUAAAUCGAGAAAGAACAGCUGAGAU